AACGCUGGCGGCAUGCUUUACACAUGCAAGUCGGACGGCAGCACAGAGAAGCUUGCUUCUUGGGUGGCGAGUGGCGAACGGGGUGAGUAACAUAUCGGAACGUACCCGACCAGUGGGGGAUAACUAAUCGAAAGAUUAGCUAAUACCCGCAUAUAUUCUGAGGAAGAAAGCAGGGGACCAUUUGGCCUUGCGCUGUUUGAGCGGCCGACAUCUGAUUAGCUAGUUGGUGGGUAAAGGCCUACCAAGGCGACGAUCAGUAGCGGGUCUGAGAGGAUGAUCCGCCACACUGGGACUGAGACACGGCCCAGA
rnacentral:rRNA from 1 species